rnacentral:rRNA from 1 species
CAGUAGCCGCGGUAAUACGAAGGGGGCUAGCGUUGCUCGGAAUGACUGGGCGUAAAGGGCGCGUAGGCGGCGAUCAAAGUCAGGCGUGAAAUUCCUGGGCUCAACCUGGGGGCUGCGCUUGAUACUUGGUUGCUUGAGUGAGGCAGAGGGGGGUAGAAUUCCACGCGUAGCAGUGAAAUGCGUAGAUAUCGGAAGGAACACCAGUGGCGAAGGCGGCUACCUGGACUGACACUGACACUGAGGCGCGAAAGCGUGGGGAGCAAACAGGAUUAGAUACCCCUGUAGUCCCUGUCUCUUAUAC